AAUAGAUACCCAGGUAGUCCACGCCGUAAACGAUGAGUACUAGGUGUAGGGGGUAUCGACCCCCUCUGUGCCGAAGCUAACGCAAUAAGUACUCCGCCUGGGGACUACGGCCGCAAGGCUAAAACUCAAAGGAAUUGACGGGGGCCCGCACAAGCAGCGGAGCGUGUGGUUUAAUUCGAUGAUACGCGAAGAACCUCACCCAGGUUUGACAUGCAUGUGGUACCGAUCCGAAAGGUGACGGACCCCUCGGGGAGCAUGCACAGGUGUUGCAUGGCCGUCGUCAGCUCGUGCCGUGAGGUGUUGGGUUAAGUCCCGCAACGAGCGCAACCCUUGUUGCCAGUUGUAUUUUUCUGGCGAGACUGCCGAGAAAACCUCGGAGGAAGGAGGGGAUGACGUCAGGUCAGCAUGGCCCUUACGCCUGGGGCUACACACACGCUACAAUGGGUGGUACAGAGGGCAGCCAAGCCGCGAGGCGGAGCUAAUCCCAUCAAAGCCAUCCUCAGUUCGGAUUGCAGGCUGCAACUCG
rnacentral:rRNA from 1 species